rnacentral:tRNA from 1 species
GGUAGAGCAGAGGACUGAAAAUCCUCGUGUCGCUGGUUCGAUUCCGGCUUUGGGCA